CUGAGGGGCUGUCAGUGGAAUGUUGGGGCUCUGAAGGUUCUGUGGCAGUUGGGGAUGGCUGAGGGGCUGUCAGUGGAAUGUUGGGGCUCUGAAGGUUCUGUGGCAGUUGGGGGUGGCUGAGGGGCUGUCAGUGGAAUGUUGGGGCUCUGAAGGUUCUGUGGCAGUUGGGGGUGGCUGAGGGGCUGUCAGUGGAAUGUUGGGGCUCUGAAGGUUCCGUGG